AUCUUUCAGGGUCGUAUAUGGAGAGUUUCUGGUACUCUUCCAAUCUGGACUACAGAAAGGAGAGUCAAGCAGAGGCAUACCCAUUCCAUUCCUAGCUUGGGCAGUGGCUAGUGAGUAGAAGGCAAUCUGCUACAAGU